rnacentral:rRNA from 1 species
GACAGAGGUGCCGAGCGUUAGGCGGAAUCACUGGGCUUAAAGCGUGUGUAGGCGGACUGAUAAGUACCUUGUGAAAUCCCACGGCUUAACCGUGGAACUGCUUGGUAUACUGUUGGUCUUGAGCCAGCUAGAGGUUACCGGAACAAAUGGUGGAGCGGUGAAAUGCGUAGAUAUCAAGUGGAACACCAGUGGCGAAGGCGAGUCUCUGGACAUUUCCUGACGCUGAGGCACGAAAGCCAGGGGAGCAAACGGG